UACGGGGGGGUAAGCGUUGUUCGGAAUUACUGGGCGUAAAGGGCUCGUAGGCGGCCAACUAAGUCGGACGUGAAAUCCCUCAGCUUAACUGGGGAACUGCGUCCGAUACUGGAUGGCUUGGAUUGGGAGAGGGAUGCGGAAUUCCAGGUGUAGCGGUGAAAUGCGCAGAUAUCAGGAAGAACACCCGUGGCGAAGGCGGCUUCUGGGACGGUACUGACGCUGGAGACGCGAAAGCGUGGGGAGCGAACAGG
rnacentral:rRNA from 1 species